GGUCUUAUAGUUAAAUUAAUAUUAGAUUGCAAGUCUGAAGGUGAAAGUAAUUUCUAAGGCUU
rnacentral:tRNA from 1 species